UAAAGUUAUGUUUUUCUGCAUUCUUGUUUUACAGUAAACGGAGGGAAAAAAACAACUUCCCAGACCUUCUUCAUGAGGAAGUAGAUGUGCAGCUGUGCAUCGUCCAUGACAAAGCGAUGCGGCUGCUGGAUACCCUCCAAGGUCUUGUCCAUGGUUUUACUGUCAAUAUUCACCCAGCGAGCAGCUCCAGGGGCCAGGAAGUUUCUGUUUCACGUUCAGCACACCGACCGUCACCCAAAGGCCUGCCAGAAACACAAGUUCUCCGCUGUCGAUGGAAAAAAAAACAAAAAUGGAGGUAAGUCAUGAAUUCCCGCCUCCCCAUGGUGUCACUGAGAAGUUUCAUGAAGCUGAAGCUCCAGCGUUCCACACGGAGACGAGUGGGGACGGGCACCCUACUCACGGAAAUGAUGAGGACUGGUAUUAAUCCGAGGAAGUCCCCAUCAAAGCUCCUUCCCUGCAUAGCCCCUCCCACCUCAUGCUCCUUCUCCCCUCUGAGGGCGACACGGCAGACCGGCUGGAUCAAAAACGACGGAGACGCUUUGCUGCACAAAAAGUUGCUUUAUUACAAGCGAAUGUCCUUAAGCAGGUCUGCAGUACCUGGAGGAGCCUCGGUCCAAAAAAAAUGAAGGACUCUUAACUUAAAAUGGCCAAAUUACGCCAAGAAGAUGGCUGGUGGGAUCAACGACGGAGGACGAAAAAUGUCAAUAAUGCGAGUCAGGCAAUCAACAAUCAGCGCACCUGGAUCCCAUGAGGGUAAAUGACAUAAAGACCAGCGGACCCGAAGAUCCAUCGCCGGAACGUAGUUCACUCUGAGUAAUCGAGCGGUGCGCCUCGCCUCUGUGGAUCCAACACCGACCUCUCGCUCGCCCACGGACUCCCUCCGUGCCUGGCCCCUCUGGACUUCUGAACGAUUCAUCCAACACGCACGUACAACACCCUCUGGUAACAUUUGCAUCGUUCAUUCUCUACAUGGUCUCGCAACACACACUCUUAGUAGCAUACACACCCCAGUACAUCAUCAGUUUCAAUAAAUCCAUCGAAAGGAUUCCUUCCACCCAAUAAAAUAGUGAACAUACUAGACGACUUUUGUCUUUGAGUAUCAGGUAAACAAACAAAGACUCCUAAUUUAGCCCGCUGAUGUAUGCAAUAACAUAUUGCGUGUCAAAGUUUGUUGGUGACGAACCCCAAAAUGCAGAGAAGGAGGCAGGCAUCGAGUAAGAAAACAUGAUUUAAUAAAACACUAAGACAAAAGGGUACAAACAAAAGGCGCGCACAAGGUGGAGAACAAAAGACAGUAAGCUACAAACAGCUACCGAAUAUAGCUUACCGCUACAAUGCAUCGACACGACCAGUAGGAACGACAAGUAGUGGUGACAUCGACACGACAAUAAUCCAGCACAGACUGGAUGGGAAGGCAGGUUUAAAUAGCACCUGGCUGAUUGACACCAGGUGUGGCCAGGUUCCAUUCAGCCACAGCUGAGGGGACACAGCACUCAGGGAGACAAACAGGAAACAGAACCAAAACAAGAGCGCUGAAAGGAAAUACUACACACACACGGAGGAAAAACUAAAACACCACCAAACUGUCAAAGGCAAGCCUGACAUUUUGGUUUAAGAACAAAAACAAAAGGAUACGAUGUUUUGCAGAGGCGUACUUAUAACAAUUCUAUACAAAAAUUAUACUAUUACUGAUAGUGGCUAGUUGAUAAGCACUGGCCUAAAAAAAAAUUCUGAUCAUUUAAAUGAUGUAUUUAUUCAUUUAUUAUUAAAUUUAAAGUAAAAUUGAAAAAAACAUUGUAUUCAGAGUAACACAACUAAAGUUAUGGCCAAAAAUAGAGCAAA